rnacentral:rRNA from 1 species
UACGAAGGGGGCUAGCGUUGCUCGGAAUCACUGGGCGUAAAGCGCACGUAGGCGGAUUUCUAAGUCGGUGGUGAAAUCCUGGAGCUCAACUCCAGAACUGCCUCCGAUACUGGGAGUCUUCGAGUCCGGGAGAGGUGAGUGGAACUGCGAGUGUAGAGGUGAAAUUCGUAGAUAUUCGCAAGAACACCAGUGGCGAAGGCGGCUCACUGGCCCGAUACUGACGCUGAGGCACGAAAGCGUGGGGAGCAAACAGG